GAUGAACGCUGGCGGCGUGCUUAACACAUGCAAGUCGAACGGUGAAGGCGGAUCUUGCUCUGCUGGAUCAGUGGCGGACGGGUGAGUAACACGUGAGCAAUCUGCCCCUGACUCUGGGAUAAGCGCUGGAAACGGCGUCUAAUACUGGAUACUAGCUGCGCAUGCAUCUUCAUCAGCUGGAAAGAACUUCGGUCAGGGAUGAGCUCGCGGCCUAUCAGCUUGUUGGUGAGGUAACGGCUCACCAAGGCGUCGACGGGUAGCCGGCCUGAGAGGGUGACCGGACACACUGGGACUGAGACACGGCCGAGACCCACGCGGGAGGCAGGAGGGGGAAAUAGUGCAAAAGGGGCGAAAGCCAGAUGGCGACGCGGCGCGUGGGGGAAGAGGGCUUUCGGGUUAUAAACCUUUUAUAGCGGGGAAGACGCGAAAGUACCGGUACCGGAAGAAAAAGAGCCGGCAAAUUACGU
rnacentral:rRNA from 1 species